rnacentral:rRNA from 1 species
UACGGGGGGGCAAGCGUUGUUCGGAAUUACUGGGCGUAAAGGGCUCGUAGGCGGCCAACUAAGUCAGACGUGAAAUCCCUCGGCUCAACCGGGGAACUGCGUCCGAUACUGGUGGGCUCGAAUCCGGGAGAGGGAUGUGGAAUUCCAGGUGUAGCGGUGAAAUGCGUAGAUAUCUGGAGGAACACCGGUGGCGAAGGCGGGUCUCUGGGCCGAUACUGACGCUGAGGAGCGAAAGCGUGGGGAGCGAACAGG